UACGUAGGGUGCAAGCGUUGUCCGGAAUUAUUGGGCGUAAAGGGCUCGUAGGCGGUCUGUCACGUCGGGAGUUGAAAACUCAGGGCUUAACCCUGAGCCUGCUUCCGAUACGGGCAGACUAGAGGUAUGCAGGGGGAGAACGGAAUUCCUGGUGUAGCGGUGAAAAUGCGCAGAUAUCAGGAGGAACACCGGUGGCGAAGGCGGUUCUCUGGGCAUUACCCUGACGCUGAGGAGCGAAAAGUGUGGGGGGAGCGAACAGG
rnacentral:rRNA from 1 species